rnacentral:rRNA from 1 species
UACGAAGGGAGCUAGCGUUGUUCGGAAUCACUGGGCGUAAAGCGCACGUAGGCGGAUGUGUCAGUCAGGGGUGAAAUCCCGGAGCUCAACUUCGGAACUGCCUUUAAGACUGCAUCGCUUGAAUCCGGGAGAGGUGAGUGGAAUUCCUAGUGUAGAGGUGAAAUUCGUAGAUAUCCGGAAGAACACCAGUGGCGAAGGCGGCUCACUGGACCGGUAUUGACGCUGAGGUGCGAAAGCGUGGGGAGCAAACAGG